UACGGGGGGGGUAAGCGUUGUUCGGAAUUACUGGGCGUAAAGGGCUCGUAGGCGGCCAACUAAGUCAGACGUGAAAUCCCUCAGCUUAACUGGGGAACUGCGUCUGAUACUGGAUGGCUUGGAUUCGGGAGAGGAAUGCGGAAUUCCAGGUGUAGCGGUGAAAUGCGUAGAUAUCAGGAGGAACACCAAUGGCGAAGACAGCACUCUGGGACGUGACUGACGCUGAGACGCGAAAGCGUGGGGAGCAAACAGG
rnacentral:rRNA from 1 species